GGCGGUGUAGCUCAGCUGGCAGAGCAGAGGAAUCAUAAUCCUCGUGUCGGGGGUUCGACUCCCUCCGCCGCCA
rnacentral:tRNA from 2 species